CUCCACUGAUUCUUUAUUUUGUGUUCGUGUCUGGGCCACUGAUGUACACUGAUGGGAUUGAGGAACUGAGGAG